rnacentral:lncRNA from 1 species
CUAUCUCUGCAGAAACACGGAGUGGUCACCAAAGGCAAAUCAACAUAAACAUGGAAGGACAAACCGACAAACCCCGAAGAAAGAGGCCGCAGGCACAUGAAAAGCAAUUCUGAAAUAUGACAAAUUGAAGGAAUGACAUGAACAUGGAGUGCUCACCGAGAGGUAUGGAUCGUAUGGCAAUGCAAGCAGAUAAGAGCGAUAUCAAAUCCAAACUACUGCUAGGGGCACAGACGUAAUGAGCAUGGAAAUUUUCUGAAAAGUAAGACGACAUAUAUAGAUUUGAUUUUUCUGUUUUCUUCUCAACCUUCAUAUAUACAAACCUUUUUGCUCAAAAAAUAUAUACAAACCUUCAAUUUUUUGAGUUCAAGGAGAAAAAAAUGAUAAAAAUGGAAGGUUAUUAUACCAAUCUUCACAAAUAUUGUCCCCCUUUGCAUAUGUCUCUUAUAUAUUGUUUUUGAAGUCCCAAGCUGAAAUUUUAAAAGGUGUGUUGUUGCCCAUUGCAUGGUCCAUUAUCAUUGGUAUCCCUUUGAUAUUUUUAUCGUUGAAUAAUUGCUAGUUGUCGAUCUGAUCCACAUCAACAUUUAAUCAGAAAGUGAAGCCAUGUGGCUGCCAACCUGAACCUUAAGGAGUAUCUAGCUGGGAUACAGAGUGAUCAGUCAUCAGUUUCAGUAAGGACAUAUCCGUUUAGACCC